rnacentral:rRNA from 5 species
GGGUUGUGAGGUUAAGCGACUAAGCGUACACGGUGGAUGCCCUGGCAGUCAGAGGCGAUGAAGGGCGUGCUAAUCUGCGAUAAGCGCCGGUAAGGUGAUAUGAACCGUUAUAACCGGCGAUACCCGAAUGGGGAAACCCAGUGUGACUCGUCACACUAUCAUUAACUGAAUCCAUAGGUUAAUGAGGCGAACCGGGGGAACUGAAACAUCUAAGUACCCCGAGGAAAAGAAAUCAACCGAGAUUCCCCCAGUAGCGGCGAGCGAACGGGGAGGAGCCCAGAGCCUGAAUCAGCAUGUGUGUUAGUGGAAGCGUCUGGAAAG